rnacentral:rRNA from 1 species
UACGGAAGGCAGCAGUAGGGAAUCUUCCGCAAUGGACGAAAGUCUGACGGAGCAACGCCGCGUGAACGAUGAAGGCUUUCGGGUCGUAAAGUUCUGUUGUUAGGGAAGAACAAGUACCAGAGUAACUGCUGGUACCUUGACGGUACCUAACCAGAAAGCCACGGCUAACUACGUGCCAGCAGCCGCGGUAAUACGUAGGUGGCAAGCGUUGUCCGGAAUUAUUGGGCGUAAAGCGCGCGCAGGUGGUUCUUUAAGUCUGAUGUGAAAGCCCACGGCUCAACCGUGAGGGUCAUUGGAAACUGGGGAACUUGAGUGCAGAAGAGGAAAGUGGAAUUCCACGUGUAGCGGUGAAAUGCGUAGAGAUGUGGAGGAACACCAGUGGCGAAGGGCGACUUUUCUGGUCUGUAACUGACACUGAGGCGCGAAAGCGUGGGGAGCGGAACAGGGAUUAGAUACC